GCGUCAAUAGCACAACGGGUUAGAGCAUGAGCUCCCGCAUAGGUUGAGAUGCAGGUUCGACUCCCGCCUGACGCA